GGGCAGGCUAGGCCGGGAGGUUAGUCGUCUCCUGUAACCAUCAACCGACUUACGAUGGGGCUGAAGCCCGGGGAGAGGUCUGUCCAGGGCUUGCUGGUCUUGGCUUGGACAAUGAUACUCUGUCCUUAGGGACUGGCCUUACAGGGAAUCGGGUCAGGCUGGGAACAGAGCAGCCCUAACCAGUUCGGUUGGUGCUCUAAGGGUAGCGGAGUUGAGGAAAGGUCAAGGUUAAACCAUCAGGUUUUGGGCGGAUCCAUCUUUGGGCGUGCCUGCCU
rnacentral:SRP_RNA from 1 species